CAGCAGCCGCGGGAAUACAGAGGGUGCAAGCGUUAAUCGGAGUUAUUGGGCGUAAAGGGUGCGUAGGCGGCCCCGCAAGUCUCAUGUGAAAUCUUCAGGCUCAACUUGAAGUCUGCAUGGGAAACUGCGGGGCUGGAGUAUGGGAGAGGUGAGUGGAAUUCCUGGUGUAGCGGUGAAAUUCGUAGAUAUUCGGAGGAACACCAGUGGCGAAGGCGGCUCACUGGUCCAUUACUGACGCUCAUGUGCGAAAGCGUGGGGAGCAAACAGGAUUAGAUACCCCUGUAGUCCCUGUCUUUAUACA
rnacentral:rRNA from 1 species